rnacentral:rRNA from 1 species
AACGCUGGCGGCAUGCCUAACACAUGCAAGUCGAACUUUCUUAGUGGCGAACGGGUGAGUAACGCGUGGGCAACCUGCCCUCUAGAUGGGGACAACAUCCCGAAAGGGGUGCUAAUACCGAAUGUGACAGCAAUCUCGCAUGAGGACGCUGUGAAAGGGUGGCCUCUACUUGUAAGCUAUCGCCUGAAGAGGGGUUUGCGUCUGAUUAGGUAGUUGGUGAGGUAACGGCCCACCAAGCCGACGAUCAUAGCCGGUCUGAGAGGAUGAACGGCCACACUGGAACUGAGACACGGUCCAGACUCCUACGGGAGGCAGCAGUGGGGAAUCUUCCGCAAUGGGCGAAAGCCUGACGGAGCAACGCCGCGUGAGUGAUGACGGCCUUCGGGUUGUAAAGCUCUGUGAUCGGGGACGAAUGGUCAGCAGACGAAUACUCUGCUGAAGUGACGGUACCCGAAUAGCAAGCCACGGCUAACUACGUG